GCAGCCAUCAUUUAAAGAAAGCGUAAUAGCUCACUGGUCGAGUCGGCCUGCGCGGAAGAUUUAACGGGGCUAAACUAUAUACCGAAGCUGCGGAUCGCAAUUUAUUGCGAUGGUAGGAGAGCGUUCUGUAAGCCGUUGAAGGUGAACCGAGAGGUUUGCUGGAGGUAUCAGAAGUGCGAAUGCUGACAUGAGUAGCGAUAAAGAGUGUGAGAAACACUCUCGCCGAAAGUCCAAGGGUUCCUGCUUAAAGCUAAUCUGAGCAGGGUAAGCCGACCCCUAAGUCGAGGCCGAAAGGCGUAGACGAUGGGAACCAGGUUAAUAUUCCUGGGCCAGGAGGAUGUGACGGAUCGUGAAGGUAGUUCACUCUUAUUGGAUUGAGUGGGCUGCUAAUCGGUUCCUGGAAAUAGCCCUCCAUCAGACCGUACCCUAAACCGACACAGGUGGACUGGUAGAGCAUACCAAGGCGCUUGAGAGAACUAUGUUGAAGGAACUCGGCAAAAUACCUCCGUAAGUUCGCGAGAAGGAGGCCCAGUUUCUACGCAAGUAUUGGCUGGGGGCACAAACCAGGGGGUGGCGACUGUUUACUAAAAACACAGGGCUCUGCGAAGUCGCAAGACGACGUAUAGGGUCUGACGCCUGCCCGGUGCCUGAAGGUUAAAAGGAGGGGUGAGAGCUCUGAAUUGAAGCCCAGGUAAACGGCGGCCGUAACUAUAACGGUCCUAAGGU
rnacentral:rRNA from 1 species